rnacentral:rRNA from 1 species
CAGUCGCCACGGUAAUACGUAGGUAGCAAGCGUUGUCCGGAAUUAUUGGGCGUAAAGGGCUCGCAGGCGGUUUCUUAAGUCUGAUGUGAAAGCCCCCGGCUCAACCGGGGAGGGUCAUUGGGAACUGGGAAACUUGAGUGCAGAAGAGGAGAGUGGAAUUCCACGUGUAGCGGUGAAAUGCGUAGAGAUGUGGAGGAACACCAGUGGCGAAGGCGACUCUCUGGUCUGUAACUGACGCUGAGGAGCGAAAGCGUGGGGAGCGAACAGGAUUAGAGACCCCCGUAGUCCCUGUCUCUUAUAC